CAAUCUCUCGAGCAAUUGCAGUCUCAUUGAAUGAGAAGUUCUUGUCCAGGCAGCCUGCUCGUAGUGCAUUGGCGACACAGCUGUCUGUUAUUUUAUUCUAUGAAUUCGUCACCCAAGUCAUAAUUUCUUGCAGGCUGGGUUUCACAAAAUUCCCACACUGAUUACUCACCAUUCUAUUUUCAAUGUAGUCAUUGAUUUCCAUGCAUAAAUGGUCUUUGAAUGGUUUAUUUAAUGCAAUGUCAAGAGUCUCCUGUGGGAAUCAUGAUUUGAUCUAUUCUUUCUGAAAGGAAGAUCUUCAUGUCUUUUGCUCAGUGCAAGCUGGCUGAAUUCCAGACUAUCAGACUGCACUGGCCUUCUUGCAAAAUAAAUGGGAGCAUGAAAUUGAUCCACUUUCUUAAAACUGCUUGUGUGCACCAUGUUUUUCAGUUUCCAGAACCUGAAACUCACUCAAUUUUAUCCUUCCUGACUUUAGUGCUGAUUAGAGGUGGGGCUUUACUUCCAUCAAGAUGAAUUGCCAAAAUACAUGUAACUUGUGCACUUUCAUAACUAAUGGUGGGAAUGUAAAUUGACAACACACCCCUUUGAUCAAUUGUCGAUUGAAAUCCUUGGUCCAUGAACACUGCAGUUUCAUCCAUAGCAAUCAUGUUGGAGAGACAGGAUUUAGAAAAAUCUAUCCCAUCAACAAAGGACUUAAAUGCAAGUGCACGUUUAAUAACCUCUGUAUCUUCCAGUUUGAACAGUUGUCAGCCUUCUCAGAGAAAGUUCAUGUCGCUGAAGGAAACCGUCCUGCCAGUGUUGUGAUGCUUUGAAAUAUACCAAACUGUGGUGCAUUUGCAAGAGCAAAUGCUUGUAUAUCAGCCCCAAAACUGCUGGUCUUGUGCCAAAAUUUGAAACCAAUAAAUGUUUUUGUUUCAUUUUUCAAAUUAGUCUCAAAUUGAGGAACUACCUUUGGAACAAGAUUCUUUCAUAGGAAUUUAAACAUCAACUUUGUGGUCAUGUAUAUAUUUUGUAUGUAUGGUGUGACUGAGUGGUAAAAAGCUUGCUUCCCAACCCAGGGUUCUGAGUUCAGUUCCACUGUGUGGCACCUUGAGCAAGUGUCUUCUAUAACCUCAGGUCAACCAAAGCCUUGUGAGUGGAUUUGGUAGACAGAAACAGAAAGAUGCCUGUCAUGUAUAUAUAUAUAUAUAUAUAUAUGUGUGUGUGUGUAUGUGUGUCUGUGUUUGUCCCCCAUCACUGUUCAACAACCAGUGUUAGUGUGUUUACAUCCCUGUAACUUAGCAGUUCAGCAAAAAAGACCAAUAGAAUAAGUCCUGGUGUCGGUUUGUUCAAUUAAUAACCCUUGAAGCCAGUAUUUCAGCAUAGCUGCAGUCAAAUGAUUGAAACAAGUAAAAGAAUAAAAGAAUAUAUACACAUAUAUGUGUGUGUGUGUGUAUAAAAUUUUGUAUGUAUCUGACCACUCUAAAACACUUCAGCAUCAAUUCAUCAAUUCAGAGCCAAAGGAGAGUCUUACUAUUGAGAAAUCCACUGAUGAAACCUUAUAAGUAAAGGUACCAUUGUGUUUGAGUAGACUCACCAAAUGUGCUGGGCAAAAGUGGGAGCUAAGACAAUCCAGAGUUGCCAACACCUGGGUGGUAGGGAGACAAACAGACUUGUCCAUUCCUUGAUAUGUUCAUGAGCAAUGUCAUGAAUGAAUGUGGAUGGACAAGUUGUUUAAAUAUGUGUAUCAAUUCAGUCAGCAAAAAUCUAAAGCUUUUUUUUUACCCUAAAGCUCAUAGUAAACUUUGGAGGCAAUUUUCUUUUUGAGGAUAGGACAAGUUGCUGCUUUAUUUUUAUUCAAGUUUAGAUAUUGAGUACCAAAUUAUUGAAAUUAUCAUUCCACUGAGGUCGACUUUUGCCUUUCAUCCUUUUGAAGUUGAUAAAAUAAGUACCAGUUGAACACUGGGGUCGAUGUAAUUAACUCAUCUCCUCCCCCAAAACUGUUGCUCUUGUGGAAAAAUUUGAAACCAUUAUUAUUAUUACUGCUAAGGUGGAGGUAUUGUUUGCAGUUGUGUUUUGUUUGUUUGUCCAUAGACAAGAUAUCUCAAGAACCACAGAAUGGAUUCAGAUGAAAUUUCAGGGAUGUUUGGCCUCGUGACUGGCACGAACUGAUUAGAUUUUGGGAUCGAUCUGGUCCCAGACAAGGAUUCUGGAUUAUUUUUCCUGUUUUUUUUUUUACUUAAUUUUUGAGAGCAGUCAGGUUCAUUUAUAGUAUUCUCAUUUGUGAGAGCAGUCAAGUCUAUUUCAGAUAUUCUCACUUAAAAAAAAAUCAUCUCUGGCUAAUCAUUGAGAGGACGUUGGUGUUGCCUUGGCAGAGGUUUGCACUCUCAGAGUGCUCUUGUUAUCAAUAUUAUUAAGGCAGUGAGCUGGCAGAAUACUUAGCAUGCUGGAGUAAAUGCUUACUUCAGAUUCUGCCAAGGUUGACUUUGUCUUUCAUUUUUUCGGAGUUGAUAAAAUAAGUACCAGUUAAGUAUUGAGGUCAAUGUAAUCAACUAUCCUUCUCCCACAAAAUUUCAGGCCUUGUGCCUAUAGUAGAAAGGAUUAUUCAUCAUCAUCAUCAUCAUCAUCAUCGUUUAACAUCUGCUUUCCAUGCUAGCAUGGGAUGGACAAUUUGACUGAGGAUUGGUGAACCAGAUGGCUGCACCAGGCUCAAUCUGAUCUGGCAGUUUCUACAGCUGGAUGCCCUUCCUAACGUCAACCACUCCAAGAGUGUAGUGGGUGCUUUCACGUGCCACCAGCACAAGGGCCAGUCAGGUGUCACUGGCAAUGGUCACAAUCAAAUGGUAUUUUUUAUGUGUCAUCUGCACAGGAGCCAAUCCAGCGGCACUGGCAACAAUCUUGCUUGAAUGCCUUUUCACAUGGCUAGCUGGCAAAACUGUUAGAAUGUCAGGCAAAAUGCUUAGCAGCAUUUUGUUCGUUUUUACAUUCUGGAGUCAUAUUCCACCUAGGUCAACUUUUCCUGUCAACUUUACCUGUCAUCUUUUCAGGGAUAAUAAAAUAAGUACCAGUUGACUACUGGGGUCAAUAUAUAAUCGACUGACCCCCACCCACAAACUUCAUGGCCUUGUGCCAUAAUUUGAAACCAUUAUACCAUUAUUAUCAUUACUAGCAGUAUCACCCGGCAUUGCUCGGGUUUGUUUUGACCCUUUAGAAUUGGAAUUUUUGAGAAGUAAAAAUUUUGCAUUAUGUAGCUUGUUGUUCUCUUUAAACAUUUUUCUGGUUGAAGUACACUGAAAAAUGUAGUAAAAAAAUCAUAAAAAAUAGGGAUUUUCAUAGAAAAAAAGCACCUUUUUGAUGUAAAUAAUUUUUGGUCUUAACAUGGUCCGAUUUGAAUUUUAUCUUCUACGGAAUGAAGAGCAAGCCUUCUUCUAUCAUACUUUCAAUUUUGGUCAACUUGUGCCGCAGGGUCUCGGAGGAGAUAGUGUUAGUUGAAGGCUACCAAACCUGCCACACACAGACAACUUCAGCUUUAUAUAUAUAGAUUAGUGUUAUUAAGGUGGCAAGCUGCCAGAAUCAUUAGCAAAUGGGACAAAAUGCUUGUCAGCAUUUCUUGCGUUUCUUUACAUUCUGAGUUUAAGUCCUGUCAUGGAUAACUUUGUCUUUCAUCAUUUCAGGGUUGAUAAAAUAAAUUCCAGUUGAUGUAAUCAGUUAGUCCCCUCAACCAAAAUUUCAGGGCUUGGGCCUUUAGUAGAAAAAAUUAUUAUUAAAGACGAGCUGGCAAAUUCCUUUGUGCAUCAGACAAAAUCUUGGCAGCAUUUCUUGUAGUUUGAAUCCAGUUGAAGCCAACUUUUCCUUUCAUCCUUUUGGGGGGGUCAAUAAAAUAAAGUACCAAUUAAGUACUGGGACCAAUGUAAUCAACAUACCCACUCCUCUCAAAAUUACUAGCCUUAUAUUGAAAUUUGAAACAAUUAUUAUUAUUAUUAUAAUUAAAAUUUUGGCGAGCUAGCAGAAUUGUUAGCAUGUUGGAUGAAAUGUUUAGUGGUAUUUCGCCAUUGCUACAUUCUGAGUUCAAAUUCUGCCGAGGUCAACUUUGCCCUUCAUCCUUUUAGGGUUGAUAGAUUACCAGUAAAACACCAGGGUCGAUGAAAUUGACUAGUCCCCACCCCCAAAUUUCAAGCCUUGUGCCUAUAGCAGAAAGCAUUAUUAUUAAAAAGGCAGUGAGCUGGCAGAAUUGUUAGCAUGCUGGAUGAAAUUCUUAGCGGUAUUUUGCUCAUCAUUACAUUCUGAGUUCAAAUUUUGCUGAGGUUGACUUUGUCUUUUAUCCUUUCAGGGUCAAUAAAUUAAGUACCAAUGAAACACUAGAGUCAAUGUAAUUGACCAAUGUCCUCCCCACAAACUUCAGGACUUGUGUCUUUAAUAGAAAGGAUUAUUAUUAUUAUCAUUAAGGAGGUGAUCUGGCAAAGUUGUUGGAAAAAGUGCUUUGCAGUGUUUCUUCUAAGCCAUUAUAUUCUGAGUGCAAAUUCUGUCAAGUCUACUUUUGGGGUCAAUGAAAUAAGUUCCUGUCAAGAACUGGAAUUGAAGUAUUUGAUUUACCCCUUACCUCUAAAAUUGCUGGCCUUGUACCAAAAUUUGAAACCUCUAUUAUUUGUUCCAGUAAUGCAAUACAAUACCUAAUGAAGUUGAAAAUUGCUUUAAUUUUUAGCCAAAUAAAUUGACAAACAAGCUGCUGUCAUUGGUAACCCAGUUAAUUUUUGUUGAUUAUUAUUGUUCCAAUUACUUCAUUAAAGAAACAUUUUCAUUGACAACUUUGUGGGCCAUUGAGAUAGCUCCUACACGGUUAUUCUACUUGCUAGAAACAGUAGCAAAGCUUCCCUCAAAUACCACACUUCCUGUCUUAAAAAUAGAACAUGUUGGAUCAUUUACCCCUGGCUUUGUUCUCUGCUCAGAGGAAAAAGACAGGAUGGUCGUGACUGGAAUGUAUUUGAUCAUAGGUGUGUUUUGUUUGAAAUUGACAUUGAGCUUAACUACAACCACCACUUCAGCACCAAUCAUUUUCAUUUGUGAAUUGAAACUAUCAAAGUUCAAAAGAAACAAAUACAUCAUUCUAUGUCCAGUGUUAUCAUUACUGUAUUUCUGUUGAAAUUCCUUGACCUCUGUUUCAAUUAAAUAUGAAGAUAAUGAAGAAUUUAGCAAAAUGACUUUAUCAUUAUUAAGCUGGAACAUAAACUAAUAUGAAAUAGUUUCAAUAGGUUUUAAUUUACCUCACUUUAAAGUAGGAAUAUUGUAUUAUAGAACCACAGGUGAUGUCCAAAAGGCUAACUCUUCUAUAACCUCAAUUCUUUGUCCCACAAUUUUUCUGCUUUUUCUCUUUUUUGUAAUUUUUUUCCAAAUCAUUAAAAUACAACAAGGCACAAAGUAGAAUAAAUGCAUCUUAGGCCUCCCCAGAGGGCAUUCUAGGGUCGGUAUUAUAAAUUCUAAUUUCAGUGCAUUCACUGAACAAAUGAGAGAGAAAUAUUUUUAUCUGGCUGUGAUUACAUACUAUUGCAGGUAACAUUCUUAAAUCAAUUGAUGUCUAUUUGGUAAUGUAACAAAGUAUUCUACCAAGAAAUGCACCAAAAUGCCUAUAACAACUCUUGAGCUAUGGCUAUGAUAUCUCCACUACUGAGCCAUCUUUGAACCAAAGCCUUGUGAGUGGAUCUGACAGACAGAAACUGAAUCAAGCCAAUCAUAUGUGUCUGUCUAUCUAUCUGUGUGUGUGUGUUUAUAUUUGCUCUCCUCCAAAAAUUGCAAGCUACAAGCGAUGAUGUUGUUAUUUUUCUUAUCAAGAAACUGUCCGCUAGGUAUGAAGUAAAAUAUCUCUUACUUGAAAAACAGUUUGGAGUUAGUGACAGGGAGAGCAUCCUGCUAUAAAAUAAGGCCCUCAAUAAUACAUUCAUCUAACCCAUGCCAUCAUGGAAAACAGGCUUAAAAAUGAAUGAACAGAAGAAUAAGUUAAAAAGUUCAAAGGUAUUAAAUCUUAACCCCUGUUACCUGGAUUAAUGCCAUCAUCAUGUUCUUGAGUGCAUUUAGUGGAGUUCAGUCUGUUGCAGGUAUUUGGGUCCAGGUCUCCC
rnacentral:lncRNA from 1 species